ACUCAAAGGAAUUGACGGGGACUCGCACAAGUAGUGGAACAUGCGGUUUAAUUCGACAAUGAACGAAGAACCUCACCAGGGUUUGAAAUUCUAGUAGUAACUUUCUGGAAACAGGAAGCCUCUUCGCAAGAAGACUGCUAGGACAGGUGCUGCAUGGUUGUCGUCAGCUCGUGCCGUGAGGCGUUCCCUUAAUUGGGGUAACGAGCGCAACCCUUGUCGUGUGUUACAAGUGUCACACGAGACUGCCCAGCCUAGAGCGCGGGAUAAUUAAAAAAUUAUCGUGCCUUCCAGGCUGGGAGGAAGGAGAGGAUGACGUCAAAUCAGCAUGGCCCUCUGAUACCCUGGGCUACACGCAUGUUACAAUGGUCGGGACAAUGGGCUGCCAAACCGUAAGGUGGAGCUAAUCCCAUAAACCCGUCCCUAGUUCGGAUUGAGGGCUGCAACUCGCCCUCAUGAAGCUGGAAUUACUAGUAAUCGUGGGUCAGCUAUACCACGGUGAAUACGUUCUCGAGUCCUGUACACACCGCCCGU
rnacentral:rRNA from 1 species